rnacentral:lncRNA from 1 species
CGGCACCGCGCGGCCCGAGGCGGGUCUUGAAGCACUCGUUUUCCCACUCGUUUUCCGGGGUUCCCCCGCGGUGGGACAGUGAGCAGUUCAGGGCGCCGCAGCCGAGGCCUUCCUCCAGAAAAAGUUUGCCAGUUCCUAAUCCAGGACACAUGUAUUUACAUGGUUGUUAAACUUUUCUGAACAGCCAGUGGGAUGUGGUAAAUAUUUAACAGCAGCUUCUCUGGAAGAGAAUGUAUUCGUUAGUAUGUAUUUAUGUGUGUGUAUAUAGUUUAUUGUAAAUUUUACUUAUUUUUCUAUCACUUUCUUA